rnacentral:lncRNA from 12 species
CUGGAGUCCUCACCAAGGAAGACAGGUGCAGGAAAUCACCAAGUCCUGAUUAAGGAGGAAGCAACACAGGGGAAAGGAAUGGGAACCGCGAAGGCACAGCCAGUGGGAGUGGGAGAGGAGACACAUCCCUGACUUUGAUCCAUGAGGAGCAGGGAACUGCUGCUGUGGUGAUCCCCAGACCCCAGCCUGGGCUGGCUGCCACCACUGAGCCAUCCCUCCCAAGCUGCAGAAUGAGGAAUUCUGGAAUUUCAGGAGCAGGAAUUCCCAGUGGAACAUGGCUUUGGC